rnacentral:rRNA from 1 species
AUUGAACGCUGGCGGCAGGCCUAACACAUGCAAGUCGAACGGUAACAGGAAGCAGCUUGCUGCUUUGCUGACGAGUGGCGGACGGGUGAGUAAUGUCUGGGAAACUGCCCGAUGGAGGGGGAUAACUACUGGAAACGGUAGCUAAUACCGCAUAACGUCGCAAGACCAAAGAGGGGGACCUUAGGGCCUCUUGCCAUCGGAUGUGCCCAGAUGGGAUUAGCUAGUAGGUGGGGUAACGGCUCACCUAGGCGACGAUCCCUAGCCGGUCUGAGAGGAUGACCAGCCACACUGGAACUGAGACACGGUCCAGACUCCUACGGGAGGCAGCAGUGGGGAAUAUUGCACAAUGGGCGCAAGCCUGAUGCAGCCAUGCCGCGUGUAUGAAGAAGGCCUUCGGGUUGUAAAGUACUUUCAGCGGGGAGGAAGGGAGUAAAGUUAAUACCUUUGCUCAUUGACGUUACCCGCAGAAGAAGCACCGGCUAACUCCGUG